CGCACAUUACGCCCUUUGGUAACCCGAAGGGCAUGCCUGUUCGAGCGUCAUUAUCACCCCUCAAGCCCCGGCUUGGUGUUGGAUCGGGUAUGAAGAUACCCGUCUCAAAGAUAAUGAUGCCGCCCCAGAGGGACACGGUACGAGGAGCUUCUAACCGAGCAUGUAUCGAAGAUGACUCUAUGGCGGUGGUCUAUACCUAUAACUUUUUUAAGUGUUGACCUCGGAUCAGGUAGGAAUACCCGCUGAACUUAA
rnacentral:misc_RNA from 1 species